GAGAGAAGCUUGCUAGCAAAGAAGCCUGCUAAUCCUCCCCUCCCCCAGUUGAACUCUGGGGUUCUCUC
rnacentral:tRNA from 1 species